UACGUAGGGGGCAAGCGUUGUCCGGAUUUAUUGGGCGUAAAGAGCGUGUAGGCGGCCAGACAAGUCUGCUGUGAAAACUCGAGGCUCAACCUCGAGCUGUCGGUGGAAACUGUCUGGCUAGAGUCCGGAAGAGGAGAGUGGAAUUCCUGGUGUAGCGGUGAAAAUGCGCAGAUAUCAGGAAGAACACCUAUGGGCGAAAGGCAGCUUUCUGGGACGGGUACUGACGCUGAGACGCGAAAGCGUGGGGAGCGAACAGG
rnacentral:rRNA from 1 species